rnacentral:misc_RNA from 1 species
CUUCAAGAGUCUUGCUGGCAUCACGAAAACUUUUCCGGUUGAGGCUUUUGCAGCUGGACAGUAACGGGAGAAUGCGUAUCUUCAGAUUUAUAUGUCUUUGUCUGCACUUGUUUUGAUUUCUUCCUACGCUUGAACCUGUUUGAUAGUCAACCCGAGCUUGGGAGGUUUGUUCACAAUCAUCAGUAAAUAACAUUUGCUUCUGCCCCUUAAGCUGAAAAUCACAACGUAGAACAGAAGUGACA